rnacentral:lncRNA from 10 species
GUGUUGCAACGUAACAGUUUUAAUUGCUAAACCCUAGCUGCAAACCCAAAUCUCUGGAUUUAAUAAGAAUUGGGUGUGAGAGACUGUGAACAGUGGCAGUUUUCUGCCAGGUUUACCUUCUUUCCUGCUCCUGGUUGAGAUUUGCAGACCUUUGUGUCCACUGUGGUCUCCUUGGAACAAGCAACUGGAAAUUCUUCACACCAGCUAUGGCUGGUAGGCAUUUCAGGCCACAACUCAGGUAUAUGAAAAAUAAAGCUUUCUUUUCUAGAACUUGACUCUGAGUCCAGGUCUUUGCUGUGCCAGACUGGUAUAAAACCUCUAACCAUGGUCUUUCAUGGGCACAUACCCACUUCCCCAGCAACACGUACUCACUGAGUUGUCCACAGUCCUAGAGGUUGAAGUAAGGCCAUGAUUAGGGAG